rnacentral:rRNA from 1 species
GGUCACUGCUAUGGGAAUUCGACUAAGCCAUGCAAGUUGAGGGCACCUUUUUAGGAGACCCAGCGAACUGCUCAGCAACACGUGGAUAAUCUGCCCACAGGACGGGGAUAAUCCUGGGAAACUGGGAAUAAUACCCGAUAGGUCAUUGGUACUGGAAUGUCCUUUGACCUAAAUGCUUUUUCUACGCCUGUGGAUGAGUCUGCGGCCGAUUAGGCUGUUGUUGGGAUAACGGCCCAACAAACCUACGAUCGGUACGGGUCGUGAGAGCGAUCGCCCGGAGAUGGGAUCUGAGAUAUGAUCCUAGGCCCUACGGGGUGCAGCAGGCGCGAAAACUUUACAAUGUGGGAAACCAUGAUAAGGGAAUUCCCAGUGUUCCUACAUAGUAGGAACUGUUUAAGUGUGUAAAAAGCACUUUAUAGAAAGGGCCGGGUAAGACCGGUGCCCAGCCGCCGCGGUAAUACCGGUGGCUCGAGUGGUGGCCGCUAUUAUUGGGUCUAAAGGGUCCGUAGCCGGCUUGAUAAGUUACCUGGGAAAUCCGGUGGCCUAACCAUCGGGCGGCCGGGUAAUACUAUCAGGCUUGGGACUAGGAGAGACCAGAGGUACUCAUGAGGUAGGAGUGAAAUCCUGUAAUCUUAUGAGGACCACCAGUGGCGAAGGCGUCUGGUUAGAAUAGGUCCGACG